UGCCCCUAGUAAAGUACUCAAGAGACUCGUGCUACGGUGGAGCCACCACCGACAGCGAAAACAGACUAGUGAGUAUGAUCCAAUCCUCACAAGAGGAUACCCUAUCUACAAGGGUCAAAGUGCCUCUGCUGCACCAUAUACAAUGCAUCCUAGAUGCCGGGAUCUCUACCAUCCCUAGAACCAUGUCACAUUUACUACUCUAGACCCGAUGCCACUCGUUCGAUCAUUGUAGUAAGUUUUCUAGCUAGUGGACAUGCCACUCGUUCAUGUUUAGUGUUU
rnacentral:lncRNA from 1 species